rnacentral:lncRNA from 1 species
UCAACACAUAGCCUCACGCAUAUGUUUCCCUUUCUGACUUAAGCAUCGGAGGGGCGACGAGAAUACACCUCGUUGCCUUUGUUUCAGGUACCGGAAGACCAUUAUCGUGAUCAACCAGAAUCAUCAAGCUCGGAAAAUCAUCAGGUACGAUUUUUGGUAGCAUCAAUUGUGUUUAGUUAAACUUGAAAAUUACGAAUCAGUAACGUCAAAAUAAAUUAAUUUUGGUCCGAUUUCAUACUCGGAGAUGGAAUCAAUGGUUUCAUUUUUUAAUUUUGAGAGAGACUAAUGAAGUUUUCAAAUAUAUACAGAUACACUGUCUAGGAUAAUGGGCUCUAUCAAGGGACCAUUUUUGGGUUGGGCCUGUAUAUGAUGGACUACUUUUACUUGAUAAUAAUAAAGGUGGGAUGGGCCCAUCAGAGAUUGGCUUCAUUUUUCAUCAAACUUCGAAAUUCGUCAUCCAUUGAUUCGUGGCUGAAGUUUUAGUUAGUACCACAAUAAUGCAAUUUAAAACAUAAUAUUAUCCCCUGCUUAAAAAGUAAAUAUCCAUGUCGUGCAUACGUGUCAAGAACAAUUUCCACUUGGCAGACGACAAUUGGCUUCCAACUUUCAAAGGCGAUUCUAUACUUCUUCACUACAUUGUUUCGGGGCCAAAUCCCAUUUGGAUAGAUUCGUUUAUAAUAUUGAGUAAUACUAUACAUUAUUAGUGGCGAUCACCACCGAUCCGAAAUGGAGCUCCUAAUUACUAAUUAUAAAUUUUUUUUUCCGAACUUUUUAAUAAUUAACUUCAACAAGUUCGACAUAUUGACAACAUUUUUUUCUAAAAGAAAGUUAAUUUUUGUUCGUGAUCACGAGUGAUCUUAAUUAAUACAUAUUUCUUAGUCGACAUGGAAGAACAUAAGGGUGAGAAUAUACAUCAUUCAUGGUAAGGUAAUACUAUUAUUUUGCUCAAGUCAAGGCUCGUGUUAUAAUUCAACAGAAAUUCGAUUUUCCUGAAAUUUAUACAAGUGCAUGCUGCAAAAAACACAAGAAGGUAUGUUGAUCGAUUAGUUCAUAGAAGAUCACAUGUACAAUAACAUACCUAGCUUAGUUAUUGACAUUUUAUGCAUAUAUUUAGUUCAAAUUUAAUAAAGUUAUUAAAACUCUAACUUAAAUUUAUGUUUAGUGGGCAAUUAUAUUGAGUGUGACUGGAUAAUAUAAUGAAUGUG